rnacentral:lncRNA from 10 species
AGGGAGAAUGAUUGGUGAAGGCUUCUAUUUGGUCAACUUGCUCUGUCUUUAUAGCCAAUUUAUAUUGAUAAGAGUUUCUCUCUAGAUACCAUUUGCGGUAUUCCUGAGUCAGAAGAGAGGAAAGGGAGUCGUCUCUCAAGAGGACUUGAUCUCUGGCCUGUGAACUGCCCCACAUGUUUCUUCUGCACAUCCUGACUCCCAGGC